AAGAUGGGUACUGAGACACGGACCCAGGCCCUAUGGGGCGCAGCAGGCGAGAAACCUUUGCAAUGUGCGAAAGCACGACAAGGUUAAUCCGAGUGUCUCCUGCUAAAGGAGUCUUUUGUCAGUUGUAGAAUCACUGGUGAAUAAGGGGUGGGCAAGUUCUGGUGUCAGCCGCCGCGGUAAAACCAGCACCUCGAGUGGUCAGGAGGUUUAUUGGGCCUAAAGCAUCCGUAGCCGGUUGCAUAAGUUUUCGGUUAAAUCUAUGCGCUUAACGUAUAGGCCGCCGAAAAUACUGUGCAGCUAGGGAGUGGGAGAGGUACACGGUACUCGAUAGGAAGGGGUAAAAUCCUUUGAUCUAUUGAAGACCACCUGUGGCGAAGGCGGUGUACCAGAACACGUUCGACGGUGAGGGAUGAAAGCUGGGGGAGCAAACCGGAUUAGAUACCCGGGUAGUCCCAGCUGUAAACGAUGCAGACUCGGUGAUGCAUUGGCUUGUGGCCAACGCAGUGCCGCAGGGAAGCCGUUAAGUCUGCCGCCUGGGAAGUACGUACGCAAGUAUGAAACUUAAAGGAAUUGGCGGGGGAGCACCACAAGGGGUGAAGCCUGCGGUUCAAUUGGAGUCACGCCAGAUGUAGAGCAUC
rnacentral:rRNA from 1 species